GAUGAACGCUAGCGGCAGGCCUAACACAUGCAAGUCGAGGGGCAUCGCGGUGCAGCAAUGCACUGGCGGCGACCGGCGUACGGGUGCGUAACGCGUAUGCAACCUGCCCCGCACCGGGGGAUAGCCCGCCGAAAGGCGGAUUAAUACCCCAUGGCCCCGGGGGCCCGCAUGGGCAUCCGGGUAAAGCUUUGGCGGUGCGGGAUGGGCAUGCGUGCCAUUAGCUGGCUGGUGGGGUAACGGCCCACCAGGGCAACGAUGGCUAGGGGGUCUGAGAGGAUGGUCCCCCACACUGGUACUGAGACACGGACCAGACUCCUACGGGAGGCAGCAGUGAGGAAUAUUGGUCAAUGGGCGGAAGCCUGAACCAGCCAUGCCGCGUGCGGGAUGAAGGCCCUACGGGUUGUAAACCGCUUUUCCCCGGGAAGAAUAAGCCCCCGCGGGGUGAGUGCCGGUACCGGGGAAGUAAGGAUCGGCUAACUCCGUG
rnacentral:rRNA from 1 species